rnacentral:rRNA from 1 species
AUACGGCCCAUUUUCCUACGGGAAGCAGCAGUGAGGAAUUUUUCACAAUGGACGAAAGUCUGAUGGAGCAAUACCAUGUGAACGAUGAAGGUCUUCUGAUUGUAAAGUUCUUUUAUUUAGGAAAAAAAGCUUGAUAGGAAAUGAUUAAGCCUUGAUUGUACUAAAUGAAUAAGUGACAGCUAACUAUGUGCCAGCAGCUGCGGUAAAACAUAGGUCACGAGCAUUAUCCGGAUUUAUUGGGCGUAAAGGAAGCGUAGGCGGACAAAUUGAUCUAUUGUUAAAGGCACUUGCUCAACGAGUUGUUUGUGAUAGAUAUCGUUUGUCUAGAAUCAGUUAGGAGAUACUGGAAUUCAAUGUGUAGCGGUGGAAUGCGUAGAUAUAUUGAGGAACACCAGAGGCUAAGGCGAGUAUCUAGGACAUAAUUGACGCUGAGGCUUGAAAGCGUGGGGAGCAAGUGGGAUUAGAUACCCCAGUAGUCCACCCCGUAAACGAUGGGUAUUAGGUAUUUGGUCUAGGACUGAGUGCUGUAGCUAACGCGUUAAAUACCCCGCCUGGGUAGUAUAUAUGCACAUAUGAAACUCAAAGAAAUUGACGGGGACCUGAACAAGUGGUGGAGCA